CGCGUGAGAAUCUGCCCAUAGGAUAGGGACAACAGUUGGAAACGACUGCUAAUACCUGAUGUGCCGAGAGGUGAAACUUAUAUGGCCUGUGGAUGAGCUCGCGUCUGAUUAGCUAGUUGGUGGGGUAAAGGCUCACCAAGGCGACGAUCAGUAGCUGGUCUGAGAGGAUGAUCAGCCACACUGGAACUGAGACACGGUCCAGACUCCUACGGGAGGCAGCAGUGGGGAAUUUUCCGCAAUGGGCGAAAGCCUGACGGAGCAAGACCGCGUGGGGGAUGAAGGUUUGUGGAUUGUAAACCCCUUUUGAUUGGGAAGAAUAACUGACGGUACCAAUCGAAUAAGCCUCGGCUAACUCCGUGCCAGCAGCCGCGGUAAUACGGAGGAGGCAAGCGUUAUCCGGAAUUAUUGGGCGUAAAGCGUCCGUAGGUGGUUUAGUAAGUCUGCUGUUAAAGCGCGGGGCUUAACUCCGUAUCGGCAGUGGAAACUACUAGACUAGAGUGUGGUAGGGGUAGAGGGAAUUCCCAGUGUAGCGGUGAAAUGCGUAGAUAUUGGGAAGAACACCGGUGGCGAAGGCGCUCUACUGGGCCAUAACUGACACUGAUGGACGAAAGCUAGGGGAGCGAAAGGGAUUA
rnacentral:rRNA from 1 species